AAAUUCACACAGCUUUUUCUGGUGUCUCAUUUGUCCUUCCUUAUUUACCUUAUUUCUAGUUUACUGAAGAAUUCUAUAGAGAUUUGUAAUUAAAGUUGCAUCCAUGUGGCACAGCUGAGAUUCAAACUCUGACUUCAAAUCCAGAAGAACCUCAAGAAAAAACCAUGCUGUUUCUUUCAAUGAUGAUCUAGUCUGGUGGAAACUGAACUUGCCACCUGAUAUCCCCACCGUCCGUGUAAGCGUUGUCCCUGAAGUACUUGAGGGCUCCCAAGGUGCCUGCCCUCCUCCUGCUUCGCCAGGGGUCCUCGGAACAAGUGCCCUAUUUCGUCUCCAUGGUACGACCUGCGAAACGGAGGUUACACAUUGGUUUUACACGUUGAGAAGGAGUGGUUGUGAAGGAGGAGGAAAAGGAAGGGAGAGCAGGGGGCAGAGAGAAGACAAAGGUUUGGGCCCUGCAGCCUGACGUGGGUCAGCAAGUGCUCUCGCCCAGGCCUCUGCCCCGGGAGCUGGACCCACGGCCAGGAUCUUGUCCCUGCAAGGCCAGCGUGCCCCGAAACCUGGCCUGAGGAGGACAUCAAUGGAAAUUCACACAACAGGAUGGUAAACAUGUAAGUCCAGCAUCCCC
rnacentral:lncRNA from 1 species